rnacentral:lncRNA from 1 species
AUCCUUCCUUCAACCAUGUUUAUAACGAAUUUAGCAUACAGGCAAGCAGGCGCGCCGAUCAGUUGUCGUAGGUGCGGCACUCGUCGGUCUCCGGGUUCUCCUUGCAGUACUUCUCGAGCGGGUCGUUGUCCUCCUUGAGCUUGUCCCGGGCGUGGCUCGCCGCGGCGCUGAGCUCCUCCACCUCGUCCCACGCCGCCGCGCACUCGCCCGAGCCCUCCUCGCCCUCGCACGUCUGCUCCGCCUUCUUGAUGCUCUCCGACACCUGGUCGGAGAUCCCCGGCGGCGUGGCCGGCCCGCUCGACCUCACCGCGAAGCCGCGGCGCGCCGCGGCCGGGAACCAGACGCGCCCCGCGGCGGCCUUCCUCCUCAUCGGGAGCACGUCGGCGGCGGCCGCGAAGGUCGCCGUGGUAGAAAGGCUCGCCACCGUCGACGCCAUCUUUGCAGCUAGCUAGCUGUGUGUCUCGAAGUUUUUUCUGUGAUCUGUUGUGGCUUUACUUGAAGAACUGUACGAGGCGUUGUUUUGGAUGGAUAUGAGGUUUAUUGUAUAUAUAGCUUUGUUCGUCACAGGCUAAGCCAUUUUACGUGCACUCGUUUCUUAUCGGCUCUUGGCCACUCGUUGCGGUGCACGUCGCUGCGUUUAAGAUACUUGAAGGACAAGUGUGACUUCGGAAGGAGAUCUUUUGCUCUAGCAGACUCGCAUUGUGCUUGCAAAUUCGUGUAGAACACGAUACUCGAUGUGAGGUUCGUGUCGUGCCGCUUGUAUGAAACGUGAAUUCGAAAAACUUGUUUCAAAGCUGCAUUUUAGUCAAAAGGCAGUAGGGCCUUUCUUAUUGCCUACUAUUGGGGCACUCGUACGUCGUGGUACGCGUCACUGCGGUAGAGAUAUUUGAAGGGCAAGUGUGACUUGGGAGGGAGAUCUUUUGCGCUCAUGCAGUAGUGCAGGUGUGCAAGCGUUUGUGCGGUUUUUGCGCUUGUAAAGUUCGUGUACAACACCAUUUUCGACGUGAGGUUUGUGUUGUGCCGCCUGUAGGUGCGUGAAUUCGACGAGUAAAAUCUCGUUUUCAGCAUGCACCAAAUAUCUAAGAUAUUGUGAGAGGUUAGGUGCAGCUUUUUGGACAACUUCUAGUGGAGCAAACAACAUAACGUAGCUACAUCUCCUUUUGAAACUUUUGAAAAAGUUGAAGUUGUUAUCUCUGAUGAUGCUAUUAUACUCUCCAUAAAGAAUUGCAGAAAUUUUACGACACUGAACGAAAUCAGUUUCAAUCGACAUACCACAAUAUUUCUUGUCUGAAGGCCACCACGAUAGAUCACUUGUUGAUGGUGCCAUUUUGUUUUCCAGCAAUUAAACCGCAACCGGUCGAAAAGGUCGGUGUACUCCAGCAGGAAAUAGACGGUCAUGGAGAAGUCAGCUGCUUGAAAACAGGUUCCCAAUCAAAGGAAUCAAUUCCAAUUUCCAUCACAUCUCAUCCUAGCUGGAUGUCUGUCCAACCAUGUUCUUGUUGGUGCAAAUUAUAAUUUUACAGGCAAGAGGCUCGCAUUCCCUACCAUCACAAGGUUGCGAGGCUCAUCCGUACCAACAGAAUUCCAAUACUGGAUUAUGCCCCCACAAUGACAAUAGCUAAUUCCGUUGGAAGCAUGAUGUUCCCACGAAAUUCCUUCGGAACAUUAGUUCUCGCAACUGUUACCGGUUGCAGUAAUCCACUGGAUACGCCCAAUGUUCAACCAGUAUCAAUCAGUUCGUAAAGAAAUCCUGCUCUAUGGCUUAUGAACGAUGAUUCAUAUGUGACAGAAACCAUGAAAACUUAGUUGCAAACUUUAUGGGUCCAAUCAAUGGUGCUGAUUGCUGAAACCAGCCUUCAAAGGAAAUGCACUACUCCUGGCCAACCACCGAAAGAAUAAUGUAAUUCAGUAUCCACGUCAAAACAAUGCAUGUCUGUCUAUUUAGUGGGGUCUGUCUUUCCAGGGAGCACAUCUUAAACAUACUUGGAUACAGAAACUUGAAGAAGUGCAUGGCCAGCUUUAUAACAUUGCUCGACCCAAAGAUUAUUGGGGAGGAAAAAGUAGACAUAAACCACCAGACUCAUGGAACAGUGUCCCAAUCAACGAUCCAGCACUGUCCCAAUAGAAGACGAUAAUGGCAGCAAAGAGAAAACAGGAAAAAAAACAGAGGUUUAUUGGGCUGGAGUGGGAGGCGUCAGCUCUGGUGGGGCCUCUCGAGUGACACCGAUCGUGGAAUCAUAUUCUUCGUCCUGGUGAGCAAACUUCUUGGGCAGCACCUUCUCGAACUCAACCUUCUCAAGUGGCUUGGCAUUCUCAGCAGCAUGCUCCUUGGACAGACUAAAAUAGUUGGCAGCCGAUUCAGCAAUAAAAGCUAUUUCAUCAUCAGUGAGCUUCCUCAGAAAUUUGGCAGGGUUUCCUCCCCAUACCUAAAUCCAACAGAGAUUAGUCAAGAAAAUAUUUCAAGAAAUAAGAUACCAAACAAGACCCAUGUAGCAUAUCCUUGUUCCAAUUCCACCCAUGGACACUAGAACUUAAUAUGCCACAUGGAUAUUAGACACCAAAGGACACGUAUAAUAAAGUGGCCUGUGCAAUCUAGCAUAAUCAAUUGGGUUCCGUCAUUGCAUGUAAACCCUGCUUUGGGUAUGUCUUGGUGGAACCAGUUGGAUGAAAUAAAAGAAAAAAAACAAAGGUGCUAGAGAUGGCUUAAAUAAGAACCAAAACUAAAGGACAGUUGAGGAAACGGUGUGCCACCUCUCCAGAAGGGAUCCUUGUAUUCUGUCUUACGAGGGCUCCGGCAGCAACCAUUCCAUGCUUUUCCACAAUGACACCAUCCAAUAGGGUUGCCCCCAUACCAACAAAAGCUUCAUCCUCAAUGGUGCAUCCUUGUAAGACAGCGCUAUGACCUGCCAAAUGGGGUUUUCCAAAUGAUAAUUUUUGUGUAUUAUUUCAGGAUCAAGAGCUUUGAAGAGCUGAGACAUACAGAGAGUUGUGCCAAAUAGUAUCUUAUUGUGUUUGCUGUGCUAGAUUCUGAUGUAAGAUCGUGACUCAUCAUUCAUCAAUAAAGUGUGGUGAUAUGGGACAAAAAUGAUUAAAGAAAAAAUACAUGUUGCUUGAGAUAAGAACCAAAAGGUAUAUUUACCUACUGUGACAUUUUCACCGAUAAUUGUUGGAAAGACUUUCCCACUUAGAUUAGACUUCGCCACAUGCACAAGAGAAUUGUCUUGUAUAUUGGUCCCAGAUCCAAUCUGAAUGUUGUUUGCAUCCCCUGACAUUGAGUUCACAAACUAGUUCAGGACCCAAAGAAACAACUUAGAAGAACAAAAUGUAGCAUGAUAGACAGAGAAAUUUUAAAAAUUGUAAAAAGAAACAACUAAAUAAUACUAAGGAUUGUCUAUUUGUAGAUCAAAACUCUGCAAACUAACUAUCCCAUAGUCUUAAAUACCAAGCUAUCCUUGCAAAGGGAGAAGGCUGACCUAGGCAAACAUUCUAGCAUCAUGAAACCCAUUAGAUGAAAUGAGCCACUAGUCCAAGGUUAUUCCAGAAAACCCUGUUGGCAAUGGCCAAGGUAAGCUCCCUGAGCUCACUCUCUAACACACGCACACUCUAGAGCUAGAGGUAGAAGAAGAUGAUAGGAGCACAGCACACACACACCCAAACUCUUUGGUGCUGCUGAACUGGGUAGAGCUGCAGCUGCUCUUCCUACUUUAUAGACCCAAAGGUCAAUGUAGAGUACACAAAACCAUGAGUGAAACUACCAACUAUCUAUCUACUCUAGUACUACAAAGUGACUGGGCAUACUGCCCUUCUACUGAUGGUACUGAUGCUGAGUACAGCAGGCAGGCAUGGCCCAAAUCGUGGAGCUUCAACUGCUCCAUUGACUUUAGCAAAAGGAAGAGAUAAGCAAUGAGCUGAGCAAUUAACUAACAAACCCGAGCUUAACACCUCCCUCCCUCCCUCUCAUUUCCUAUUUUCUGUAGAAUAAGGAAAGUCCAUCGCCCAAAUCCCCUCCUACCCACAGUAUCUCAGCAACCACCUUUCUCCAACCAAACAUGCAAACCAGAUGAAAAAGGUCAAAUGAACACGGUGUAUCAAGUUACAAACAUUGAGAAGCACGAAAGCACACAUGUCAUGGAAAAACAGACUUAUGAACCCACCUAUUGUGGAGCCAAGAUCCAUGAUAAGGGCAAGAUUUAACCCAACCAAGCAGGCCCUAAAGGAUAUUUUAUUUAUCCACAAGUUGAUUGUGUUUUGAUAUGUGCUCUUUUUGCACAAAAACAAACAGGGUGCAUGUGCAUCCCACAACUACAAACAUAUGUCAAUCACUGAACCAAUCCCUAUAUAAGUUGCAAGAUUAAGAAUGGUAUACAUAAUCAAAACAGUUGCAUUAGAAGCAAAUCCCACUCAAUAGAACACCAAAUUGAAAUUUCAACCCAACAUUAACACUACAUAUUCAUAUGUCAGUUAUGUAAAAUAAUGAAAAAAAAUUAUCACCAAAGUUAUCCAGAAAUAUACCUUGACACAAUUAAGUCACAUAAGGAAAGACCUUCGAAGAGAGACAAACAGAAAGCAAAUGACUAUUCUUUUUUCCUUUUACAUUUCAAGUAUUGAAUGAUAUGCAUGAGCAUAUGAGCUUAUAAUAUGGUUAUAGAGACAACUUAGAAGUAACCACCACUUAGCUCUUCUUUUCUUUUUGUGUGUAAGAUGAUACAAAUAAUGCUCACUGGGAUAGGAAGCACAAACCUCUUAGAACGCACCCGUACCAAAUGGAAGCUCCUGGUCCAACUUGAACAUCACCAAUAAGUGAUGCACUUGGAGCAACAAAUGCAUCUCUAUGAACAUGAGGGGUUUUGUCAAAGAUGUUCAUGAGUGUGCGAUGCCUUGAAACUGAAAUUGUCCAAAGAGCAAUGAUGUUAGCAUUUGGUUAUAAAAAUGUUGCACAAACAACAGUUGUAUAAGAAUCAUAAUGCUGUUGAAAUGAAAUAAAUCGUGGGUAAUCUUACGGAGACAGCAUCAUGCAUAGAAAUACCGGAUUGAACAAAAGAAAAUAUAUAAGAUUUCAUCUGAACGCGGUAAACUAGGGGCCAUGGACAUUAGAAAUUAUCAGCAAUCAUGGUCCAAGAGAGAGAGAAAAAAGAUGACAGAACUCGAAGGUGCCACAUGACGGACGACCAUUUUAGUUCACACAAUCCAGAUGAUGACAGUCUAAAACCAGAAGGAUAAAUAAUAUCGUGCAGCUUACAUGCAUUCUUCAAACUUUCUCCAACAUGAAAUAUAGCAUAGAACAAUUGUUAAAUGCUUCCAAGCUGGAGUAUAAAUAUAUGUAUGACUACUGCAAGAUAUAUCUAUUGUUUACACAUUAAAAAUAAAUCACGAGAUUUAUCUUCCCACAAACAAUUAUUGUUGCAUGCUAGCAUGGCAGCUAACCCUAUCAUGUUCAGAACAUUCAAAAUGAAUGAAAAUUUUUAAUAUGCGCUUCUUUUUUUCUCAUAUCAUUGCAAUAAGAAGGAAAAAGGUUCAAAUAUAACACACCCUUACACUCUUAAUGAAUUACAGUAUGCACCACCAGAUAAAAAAGAACCCUCGGUAGCUACUCAUAGCACUAAAAUCAACUCACAGUUGUGACAACCCUUGACCCCUGCCAUACACCAAGGCUAGAACCAAGUACACUUCUUAUUUAAACCACAGAUACUAUGCAUUCAGCACACCUAAUGUACCUUUUAGCAAUAUGAUUCUUAGCCACCUCAAUGCGCUAACAUAAACUGCAAAUCUAUGCUGUGUAAAACGCCAUCACAGGAGCAGCUCAUCUCUAGGAGAAUGUAAGUAUGCCAUACAUGAACACAUAAUUAACUAUAGAAGUUACGAUUUCUGUUCCAUACAUGUUGACCUAGACUUGGAAGUCGUUCUGAUCCCAUUAAGUCCUAAUUUCAAUGGCUUAAGCAUUUUCAGUUUCCUCACCAAAUGGUUCUCCCCUAAUAUGCUUCAUUAAUGAUACAGUAAUUACUUAUUAGGUCCAAACUGCCCAAUCAGUAUACCUCCUAUUCAUUGGUUGACUGGUCAGAUUAUCAUCCCACCGGUCUUCAUAGGAAAGGUUAAAAAAUACGUGUAAAGAAGGCGGUAAAAUGCAUCAGUUCUAUGCCUGGCUUUCCUAUGAAGAAAACAAGGCAGCAAUGCCCCUUGGUUACUGGAAUGUGGCUGCACGGUGCUCCUCACGGUUCAUGUCAGGUCCUCGGCUCAAAUCAUGGGUUCUACAACACUUUUAGGUACAAACUACAAAGAUGUUCCAAGGGUCCAGCUAGAUGGCAGAUUCUGCUGAAAGACAUCUGGUUCCAUAAUAUGUUCUCCUGUGCAAAGCAACUCACGUGUACAUACAAGAUUAGCUAAAGAAAAUGUAGGAAAAAAACAAAAAGAACCCAACGGAGUUCUAUUGCACUUGAAUCAUUCCCAAAAGUAUCAGUUUAAAGAUGAAUAGGCUUAAGAAUCCAUAUUUCUGGUCCCAACUAUUACUCAUUAUAUAAAACAAUGACAUACUCUAACAAAGUAAAUCUUCAUUGACAUAAAAAAAUGAUCUAAAUAGCAACACUCCUGGUCAAUAUAAACAGUGUACUCAGCAAAAGAAAAUCAGCAAGUACAGUAGUUGCAAAGAAGAAAUACAGUAGGGUGGCACCCUACAACGGUACCAUACAUGUCCAACUCAACACCAUCAUUAAAGUCAUUAACACAACAAUUUGACAUCUCAGGAACUUCAAGUUCUACAGAAUUUGCACCUUCUUGUAAAACCCAAUACUGCAGAAAGCAUGAUCCACAAUCCACAGGUAAUAGUUGGCCUCCUUAAUCGGCCAAUCUUACCAAUUCGUGAAUUAUAACACAAUCAAUUACAGAGAAACAUCAAUGAAACUAUGCACACAUUAAACAACACUAGAUUUCACGAAAAUGCAUUGAGCUCACAAAAAGGUAGGUCCAUUUCGAGUCGAAUCAGGGCACAAUAACCUAAUAACCCAAAACCCUGGGCAGCUCGACCUAGCCGGGCGCAAUAGUGCGACAUUUCCCUAACCGCUCCUAACCCUAUCCAACAAUCCCGAUUCGCUGACUCCUCUCGGGCCGCUCAGGACAGACGAAACCCGCUCCACUCGCGGAGUGCUUGGGCGAAUCGACGGACACCGGAGGGUGAUUCGGGGGGAGAAGGGGUGGGGCGGAGGGGCAGCGGCGCUUACUCUGCUCGUGGAAGAAGUAGUUGCCCUGCAGGCGGCAGCCGAGGCGGUCGAGGGCCUGGCCGGUCUCCCGGAUCCAGAACCCCACCGCGUACAUCGCCUUUCCCAGGCCUGCCAUCUCCCCCGGCGGCGGCCAAAAUCGCUAGCGGCGGGCGCGGCGGAGGCGGAGCGGUGCGGAAGCGCUCGUGGCCUUGGAGAUCUCGAGGAGGAGGAUCGGAGUAGGGGCGAGCCGAGGUGAGGGGAACGGGAGGGGGCGGAGAACAGAGGCUGGGGCCUGCUCCGCUGGGGUUUCCUCGGUGCUCGGAAUUGACCGUUUUACCCCUGGGAAGAGAGUGAAAUGCGAAAGGUGUGUGAUGUCGAAAUGAAGAUGGAAUCUAACGGGUUGACAAAGGAAAAUAGGCCUAAUAGCCCAGCAGCGACGGGCCAUGGUCCAUGGGCCUAUACUUCCAAAAUGCCAGAUCAAAGUCAUCAAACCCCCAGAGUACAGGCCCAAGACCAUUAAGAAACGUUAUGGGCCUCAAGCGGCCGGCCCAUCGCCCCAUGUCUUCCCCUCCAACUCCGUCGAUCUCACCGUCGCACUUCCUUGAUCUCCUCCUCCACUCUACCACUCCACUCCACCGCCACCGCCCAACCUCCAAUGGCGUCGCCUCGCCGCCGCUUCCUCCCGCUCCGCUUCCUCCUCAUCAUCAUCCCCGUCUCCCUCUUCCUCGUCCUCCUCCUCCUCCAACGCUCCACUCAUCCCACCGCCGCGCUCCUCCGCCCCGCCGGCUCCGAACCCAGCCCCGACCCCCGCCGCUUCUCCCUCCUCAUCAAGCUUCUCGCCUACGACCGCCCCGCCGCGCUCCGCCGCUGCCUCCACUCCCUCGCCGCCGCCGACUACGACGGGGACCGCGUCGCGCUCCACGUUCUCCUUGACCACCGCCCGCCCAACUCCUCGCUGUCCUCCCUCGCCGCCUCGCACGAGAUCCUCGACUUCGUCGACGCGUUCCCGUGGCCGCACGGCGAGAAGCGCGUGCACUACCGCGCCGCCAACGUUGGGCUCCAGGCGCAGUGGAUCGAGGCGUGGUGGCCCGGCUCGGACGACGAGUUCGCCUUCGUCGUCGAGGACGACCUCCAGGUCUCGCCGCUCUACUACAGAUUCCUCAAGCGGGUCGUCAUGAAGUACUACUACGACCGUGAGAACUACAGCCCCUACGUGUUUGGUGCGUCGCUGCAGCGACCUCGGUUCGUUGCAGGUGAGAGCUUAUUUAUCACUGAGUUGCGAAUGCUUGUUUACUCUCUUGCCUUAGUUUGGAAGAAAGGAUCCGGGAAAGCAGGCUGUUAUUCACAAAUGGGACCUGGCGUGGUAGAUGAUGUGUUUUCUGUAGUUCGGGGAGAUGAAGCUGCUAUAUACACCGCGGUUUUUUUUUCCCUGCCCCAUUUGUGCAGAUGUGUCCCGUUCUUUGAGAUUAGUUAGAAGACUGACUCUGUUUUGUGUUUUCAUGCCUGAUUACGAGGAUUUUGUGCUUAUAAUGGAUUUCUGCGCUUAUGAUUUAUAAAGUUAAUUGUCAUCUUGUACAAGAGCUCCUGACACUGGAACUUUAACCACUGAUGUGAAAAGAAACUAAGUAGGUUUUUGUCCAAGAGCUUCUGUCCCUAGAAUUAUGAACACUAUCUGAAGCAACUAAGUAGGCUAAGUUAGAAAUGAUGAUACCUUGCUAUUGUGUUCUAAUCUCUGGCAUCAUCUUGUGUAUCGGUAGAAAGUUGGAGUCUAGCAACUUAAAGUUUUCUGCCAGCAGGAAUAAUGCCUCCACAAGUUCACCUUGAAGCAUGCAUUCAUAGUUCGGAGGGCAUUGAUCUCAUAGUCUCUCUCUGCCUGUAAAGUUGUUUGAUUUUUUUGGUCUUUUAGUUGCCUGCAGCCAUGUCAUAUUUGGUUAGUGGGGUGUGAUCGUGGCCUAUUUUGCUGACUUUUUUUUCAGGAUAAUGUGCUUUGUUUCUGAUCUUCAAGAUCCAGUAAGCUUUAUUGACAUGGUCUAGGACAAACAGAGGUGCUCAUGGAAAAUACUGGCUGCCUGGAACCUAGGAGUGACCAUCUGGUUUCUUUAGUUAGAUUGAUUCUGAAAAAUGCGACUGAGAUACCCAAGCUGAAGAUAAAAACUGAACUAAUUAACCGAUAUAAAUUGGUUUCUCACCUAAUCCAUUGACACUACCUUACACUAGGGUAACACAAACAUACUGAAAUUUUUACUUUGAUUCAAGAAAACAGCAAAAGCACCUUCUCAGUGGCAAAACUGCCAAAUUGAAAUUAGCAAAAUCACUUUCAUGAAACCAAUUUUAGAUUUCACUAAGUACACAGCACCUUGGCAAGAUGACGAAUCCAAGAGGCAUGAGCGGUGUUGAGAUGCUGAGCUCAUGCCCCUCUUUGUUUCUUCUGCAUCCCUACCGGCUUGAGAACUCGGCGUUUGGUAUUCUUAGUGGGCAGUGGCCGAUGGGCCAUUGGUUGGCUGCAGGUUAUUAGGGAUUGGAGGGGGAUUAGGCACUGCUUUGGACAAGGACCAAAGGUUGUGGUGCAGCCAGGGCGAGGGACAACAUCGGGCAGUGUGAGGUGAGGCUGUGAUAGGUGAGUUAGGCGUGGCAGGUCUGUGAGAGAGGGGUUUCUGCAGUAGGGGUAUUAGGGUGUUCAUAGCCUUGCUCCAUAUGUGUUAAUCGGACUGUUGGGCCAGUGGGUUGCUAGGAUGGCCAGGUAUGUUUAGAAAUCUGAACUGAUCAGUUUCUUUGACCUGUUUGGUUUCCAGCUGGUAAAAUCCAAACCUAACGCCGAAAACUGAACAAAACACAUUUUGAAACCACACCAAGCACCAAAGAAACAAACAAACCAAGAAAUUUAGGUAGUUUCUCAUCAUUUUCUAGUGUUGAGGUAGCCUGUGCCUACUAUAAGCUGUAAUUUCGUGUUUUUACAGCGUAAGCUUCGUUUUGUUUCAAAGCUAUGGGAUUGCUGGAGAAUGGUACAAGGAGGUGCUAAAUUAAUGUUUGUUUUGUGAACUGUCAUAAUGCAAUAUAAUAUAAAUGCAUAUAAUUCGAUACUACAAUUACAUUAGUGUUGUUCUGUAAUGAUAUGUUCCUUGCUAGAUGAGGAAAGGCCGUAGCUACUGGUGGUAUUUGUACAGGUUCAUUAACCCCCAGUUGAAUGCUCCUCAUGUUGGAAAAUUGUUUAAGCCAAUUGUCCAGAGAAAAUGAAAGAAUGGCAUUUGGGAAGUCUGUAAGAACUAAGAACCUAAAAAACUUUGCUUUAUACUAUAUCAAACAUGAAUAUGUUGCCAAGUAUCUAAAAUAAAGUGUAUAAGAAUGUACCUAGUGUCAAAUCUGAUCCGAUGUUAACACCUAGCAGCGUAUUUUUUAACAUUCUAACUUGGACAGUAAUCACAAUGCUUUAGCUGCAGCAUUUAUCCAUCACUCUAACAUGUUAGCACCUAUAUUACUGUAGAGUUACUUUGUUCAGGUUUCAGCUUGUUCAUUAGUUGUCACUACAGUUUUCUUCUUCUAUUUGUACAAGAUAAGAAUGAAGACAUCAGUAGCAAGUAGCCCUGGCUCCAACCUCCAAGUAGAAGCUUAUUUACUUUAUUAUACAGGCAGUAGUCAUCAUGCACCAGCCACCAACCCAAACUGUUACUUGUUGAUUAUGUACUCCACUAUUUGAGUUAUUGGUAGUGUGAGUAGGUGGUGGUUUCUUAGGUGCCAUAUGUUUGGUCUAGGUAAUAGCAAUGUUUUCAGUUCCACUCAACUCCUCUGGAUACCUUAGUUUGGAUAAUGGCAAUUCAGUUUGUACUCUGCAUUAUAACAUAAUGUGUGAGUGGUCCAAAUACUGAACCCCUGGGCUGAUCAUUGUACAAUAUAAGUUAUUAAUGUACAGGCCCAGGCUUUGACUAAAAUGUAGGCCCACACCUGGAGACUGAUAUGUUAUUCAGAUUGUGCUCCCGGUUCAGAGCUGACUAACCCUGUUAAAAUGGGGUUGGGCCGUUUCUAGUCUAGUCCAACAUUCAAUUUGAUGAUAUCAGUCCAUGAUAACCUGCAAUUUUAUUGUAUGCUGAUAUGGUGUACAAACUACCAAAAUAUACAAAAGGUUCUAUUGCAAAAAUUACGUGUAUGUUAUCAGUGUUGUUCAAGUAUCUUUCUGGUAUCUAAUUAGGGAAUCGCAACCGUGAAUUUUGUUUGGUCAUGUUUGCUUUAUCUCUUUAUUUUGUAAGCUAGACAAUUAGAGGUUUGGUGUUGUGGUCGUGCAAUGCCAUAUCAUGAGGGCACAGAUUUUGUUAGGUACAAUACAACAUAACAAAACAGUCACACUUGAACUUACAGGUGAAUUUGUGGCGGCUAUUCUUUUGUAGUAAUUUGUAUGCUUAUUGUUUUUAUAAUCACAUUACUAAUAACUCUAUAAAUUUUCCUCUAGAUGUGUCUUAUGAAAGUUGGUUCUUUUGCAUUCUUUGACCUGUAGGACUCUAUUGAUUUUUUGACUCCAAAGAAAACAUUGUAUGAUACUUAUAUACACAUUCCUUACUCCUUAUAUGAUUACAGAAAGUGCUGGCAGUUUGGCAAUAACUCUAUGUUAACCAGUUUGGUCUUGAACUAAACCAGGUAAACAUGGAAACAAGAUACAGCUGGACAGUGAGACUCGGCUCUUCUUGUAUCAGAUGGUAGGCACAUGGGGGCAACUUCUCUUUCCAAAACCAUGGAAAGAAUUUCGACUAUGGUACGAUGAACACAAAGCCAAAGGGCUCAAGCCUAUUCUCCAAGGCAUGGUAAACUUUCUUUUCCUUAAUAUCUAUGUGCUUCUUUAGUUACUGUGGUAACAGAACGAUUUAUGUAACUCAUGUCAAGUUUUUAGUGUGCCAAAGUAUGAGAUAUUAUCUUUAGCAUGUUUCUCCCUAAGAUAGUAUAUGAAGUUUAUAUUCUGUCAAAUUUGUUAGCUUGACUGAUGCUGUUAUUCACCCCCAACCUUUGCAGAAAACUACAGGAUGGUAUAAAAAGAUGGGCGAGAGAAUAUGGACUCCUUGGUUCAUUAAAUUUGUGCACUCACGUGGAUACUUCAAUAUCUACACAAACUUCCUGAAGGAAAGGGCCCUCAGUGUAUCUCAUAGGGAUGCAGGAGUGAACUAUGGGAAAAGUGUUGGGCCGGAUUCUACUUUGUUGGAUGGGAAGAAUCUUGAUUUCAAUUUAUGGGAAUUACAGCCUCUAAAGAAGCUAAAGUGGUAUGAUUUUUGCUUCGAUGAAGUUCGACCAGGAAGAGUUGUUAGAAAAUUUAGUGAACUUGUUUCUGUGCUCAAAUCGGUGCAACUAAAAAGUACUGUUGUACUUGUAAGUUUGUACUCAAUAGAAGAGAGAUUUGCAAGAAACUUGAUUUGCCAUCUUGACAAGGCAGACAUGCAGAACUACAUUUUCCUUGGUGACAAAUCAGAGUUUCUGGAUGAUAUUGCUCAUAGAGGAUAUCCUGUCAUUGAUGGUAUUGGAUUUCUUCAGAGCAUCAAAAUGAGUAGUUUUAUGGGCUCUGAUUAUUUUGCUAAGGAAACAUUGGUUAAAUCAUAUGUGAUAAAAGCUUGCUUGGACCUGGGCUACAAUCUAUGGCUACAAAAUGGAAAUAUGAUUUCACUUGGCGGUAAGUUGAUUGAGCCAUCAGAUCAGUCAGUUGACUUCUUUAGCGCAGAUGUAGGAUUGAUGUUUAUAAGGAGCUCAGUAGAGUCGAAAAAAGCAUGGAAUGAGCAUACUAUAUCAAGAGUUAAAGCGAUGUGUACGUCUAGUGAUUUUUCUGCUUCCCUCGACCAGAAGAAUUUUGUUCCUAUACUGACUGAAGUGUUGGCAAACGGUGCUGGUGCUAAGCUAGGAAAACUGGGUGAGGAGAUGAGAGUUAUCGAAUUAGGGCCUAACACCUCAAACAAAUCAACAUCAGAAGGUCAAAGUAAUGUGCUUUUCUGGUCUCACAGUAUGGCUUCAGAUUCAGUUCAAAAGCAACUUGAAAAGAUGGAUUUGUGGUUGAUUGACUCAGAUUCAUCUUGUAGCGCUGUUGUUUGUCACCAGAAGCAUUAGUAGCCUUUGUUGUUCUGCAAAUUACUUUUUUGCCCCCAGAAAAGCAUCGAUUGUCAUCAAAGGGGUCCAAGGAAACAGGCUGACUUGCUCCUACGUUCGAAACAUGUGAUGACAUUUAUGUUAGGAUGCACCAGGAUCAACCAUUCUAUGGUCUUUGUAAAUUAUGUGACCUUGAAGCUGUGCAAUCAAAUGUGUCUGUUGUUGAUUACAGUUGGUUAUGCCACCAAAGAUGAUCAUUUUGGAGUUCUGCUUCUGCCAUGAAUUAUGUGCUGAACAAGCUAUGAUUUUAAGGUCCUGAAUACCUGGAUCUUUUAUUGGGUUGGUGAGGGAAAAGUAUUUAGUUGGCUAAGCUGAUAAUUCAACUCACGGUGUUAGUUUUGGAUAUGAUAUUGAUGCUAUGGACCUCAUUGAUAGCAAUGCCCCAACUAGAGUCCCUGCAGACACUAAAUCAUGGGAGGCUGAAACUGGUAUGAUUCUUUUUGUCCAAAGUACGAAGUACUCAUUAGUCUGUACUCUAAUUCUGUAGCGAUUCAAUAUUGUCUGUACUCAUUAGUCCAAGCCUCCAAGGCACAAAGGGAUCAUGAACAGCUGCAACAAGAAAAGUUGUCAGAUAUGCACAUAGCUAACUAAAAUGUGUGGUUUUUUCUUUUGGUCCGUGUGACUAGCGUUUCCCUGUAUGCUUCAGAAUUGAGAUGCAGGCUUAACAUCAUCCUCUUUUUUUUUGUCUCUGUCCAGAGCAAUGAUAUUGCAACCAGAUCCGGGGCACGCGAUCCCUCUCCUACACCUCUCUAAUGGAACAGAUGUAGAAAGUGUGUAUCUGAAGAAAAAUCGGAAGAUGCGGUUGGUGGCUUGGUGCGUGCACAUUUUCACUGGUAGAAGCAACGUCUGCAGGUUAAAGAAAAGAAAGAAAACCCAGCUGGAAAGUGGCUCGGCGAUUUUGGCAGACUGAUCAUAGAAACCCAGAGACAAUUAUAUGCAAUAGCAAGUGUGCGCUUGAGGAGAUUUCCCAACCAGAGUUGACGCUGGACGUUUCUUAGCAUCACGAUUUGCGCCCACUUUGAGCACAAGCAAGCUUGUAGUUGCGACAGAAACGGACGCCCCCGAAAAUGACAUGCAGAUUGUCCUGGAUGAGCCGUUGCACCUUUCGCAUAAUCGCAUAUGACGUAAAAAUAGUAUCGUAUCAGGUUGGGAUGCGGGCAUUCUGAGCGUGGCGUGUGCUCUAUGCCUCUACGGCUUGAAGCUGACAUAUCAUGAUGGAGCAACAGUUUGCAGCUCGAUCAUGUCAAGUGACCAAUCCUUGGCCUGCUGCCUCGCUUCUUGCAUAAGCUCGUGUUAGUUAGGUACUUAGGUGGCAUCUCAAGUCUCAACCCACACACAAUUGGCGAGCAGGCAACUAGGGACAUGUGCUUCUUCAGCUCGAUGCGUUCGGAUCACGGAUCUCCACUUGGAGCAUCGGUGAGAUAUUACAAGAUCACCUAGCAGGACCAUCACAGAACCAACCAGCGAUGCUUUUCCGAUGCUCCUUUGAUCUUUAUGAUGUUAUUUUUAAACGGUUCUGGGUUCUCCAUUAACACGGGUCCCUUUUUGCGACAGCUGGUGAGGACAUUGUUUUAACUCUUCCAACGAGAAAAAAGGAGCUGUCGGCGUCAUCUUAUGGAAAGGACAAGGCAGCUAAUUAGGUCUACCAAACGAUGCGAUCAGGGAGCGAGAGAUCCCCAUCAGCGAGUUGUUAAUCGCCUCUCCACCACCUUAUUUUUAGAUUAGAUUAGGAUGGAGAUAUUGUGCGCUUGUCCUGUCCCGGGCUCCCGGCACAGCCGCGCAGGGGAGAGCAACGGCGGCGAGUGACCACCUUUGGAUGGGGACACGACACAAACGCUGGUACAGGUGUGCAAGCGAGCUGCCCAUGUGCCUGCGACUGACCGCCUCGGCAGCAUCCAUCCGACUCCCGAUCGAUCUGUAGCGGCACAUGUGGUACGGGUGGCUGGCAACAGGGAUCGGAGCGCAUCUCGCCGGGGCGCCGGGCCACACGCGGGGAGGUGGCCACUGGCCAGCGGCGAGCAACAGCCGCAUCUUCUCCGCCUCUCUCCCAGGAAAGGGAAAAUAACCGCCGCCGCACGGCGCCAACAACAAGCAGCCGCGGCCGCUGCCCGUUCGCGCAGAGGUUUUCCUGCGGUCCGCGCACAUGUGACCUGCCGCCGCUCGUCACGGGAAACCAUCUCGUUUCUCCUCUCACGGGAGACGAUGGGGAUAGCCGGAUAGGCCAUUCCGUUCGUGGUGGCAAAUAUCUGCGGCCCACCAAGGAAGGCUGCUGCAGGCUAGCCUUUCGGAUCAGAGGAGGUGCGCGAUGGACUCAACAGCACGCAAAGGCAUCGCAGCGCAUCCACAGCUCGGGGUCGGGGCGGACCGGGCGGCCGUCUUGGCUGGCUUGUUGCCCUGCGGUUGGAACCAGCGUUGCUCGACAGUGCCAGCAGGGAUAGAGUGAUCUGGAUCCGCCGCUGGAAUCCUGGUCUCUCUCUCAUCUCAUGCACACAGCAACACACUCUAGUACCAUGAAUGGGAUUGUGAGGCCUACUACAAUGAUUGAAUUACGGAGCACGCACCGCGUUCAGAACAACCCAGCCAGCGCCCAGCGUCCCUUUCCGACCAGCCUGGCUUUUGCUAUCUGUUCAUCAGCAGCUCUGUCACUGCACUUGAACAAGCUCAAGCUACAGUCAAAGAAUUACCAUACAAUGUUAAAUGUUUUUUUGCUUUUCCUGUCGAGUAAGUAACUAGCGGUAACAAAAGGAGACGAUGCAGCUGGAAGGAAGGACGAUGGGAUCGAGAUCCUGUUUCUGUCUGCGUGGCCUUCUGAUGCACAUGUUGGUUAGUACUACUACGUGGUAGGACAGAGUGUGUGCCCGUAGGCCGUAGCCAUGUGCGAGGUGGUGUGCGGACUACGGGAGGAGAGUGACCGUGUCAGCAGUGCGUCGCCGGCGCCCGGCGGAUAUAUAUAAAUAAAUAAAUAAACCCGCUGCUCGAGCCGAAAGGUCAAACCCGCUGCUUGACUACGAUGAUUAAGCCAAAUGGACGCUCCUCGCCUGCUGCUCCGUAUCCAUCGCCACGGCCUGCCACUUCCCUGUCAUAUGACCCAUCUGCCCCCCGCAUCAUUUUUCGCCAUAAAGUCUAUUGUCUAUGGUCUAUCCUGUACGUUUCACUCGGCCAAAUAGCCUGGAUCUUGGCCGCACAGCAUGCCCCGUGCAACUCGUCUGCUAAAAAUGUGAAGAGUCAAAGUUUCUGUUUACGACUUUUCCCUUGUAGAGUAAUAGAAUAUUUCCAUAUUUGUCAUGUUGAUAGAAAUGAGACGAACGAGAUUCGACCACCCAUCUCCCCCCUAACGAGCUCCCUUUUGCACCAAGUCACAACAUGCUAUUUGCCAGUUUUCUGUGCUGAGCAACACUAAUGUGAGCUUUUCGAAAAGAAAAAAAACACUAAUGUGGCACCAUUGAACAUCCCUUCAUUGCAUGCUAACAGCUACGAUUUCCUCCGUUUCUCACCUCUCUGCCUCUGGUCAUUGUCUCCCAGUCUUCUUAUUCCUAUCGCAAUGAUUCUUCUUUUGUAUACGCCAAUAUGGUACCUGAGAUCUUGGGGCAUGUUUAGUUACCCCCAAAUUCCCAACUUUGGCAUUAUGCAAAAAGAAGAUUUCCCAUCACAUCAAACUUGCGGUACAUGCAUGAAGUACUAAAUGUAGACGAAAUCAAAAACUAAUUGCACAGUUUUGUUGUACUUUGCGAGACGAAUCUUUUGAGUCUAAUUAGUCAAUGUUUGGACAAUAAUUCACAAAUACAAACGAAAUGCUACAGUUGCGCAUUUAUAGCAAAAUUCUAACUUUGGCACUCCCAAAUUGGGAACCGAACAAGGCCUUGGUAGAACAAAACAUCUCGUGUAACUCCCUCUCUAUGCUAAAAUAUGUAUACCAAUUUUUCUGAACUAUUUUUCCUACUAUCGUAAUACACAAUUCUAGAUGUUUAUUUCUAUUUAGGGCCGUUUGGUUUGAGUUGCUUAUUAUAAGCAACUUAAAGUUGCUUAUUUGGAGUGGCUUAUUUUUAGUCUAGUUGUUUGGAUACCUUUACUUAUGAGCAUUGAAUGAGGUGGACAUUGUCAUAUUUGCCCCUUGUUGCUACCCCUCCUCGCGUGUACGAGGCCAGACAAAAGUCGGGACCUCCACGCGUGGCUUCAGCAGCUCAUCGACGUCGUGUACGAGGCCAGAGACGUCCUCGACGACUUCGAUGACUCGGCCCCGCAGCCCGAAUCCCCCGUCGCCAGGUUCGGCAAUCGGAUCUUGCAGGAGCGGCGGGCGGAAGCCGGCGGCCGGGGCGGGGCAGGAGCGGCGGGCCG